AAUCCGGAUGUCAUUGGUUGGAUCCACCAUCAUCGAAUCACUCUCCUGGGGAAACAAAUUAUUAAGUGCUUAGAGAUACAGCUUUUUGCAUAAGAAUGACUAGUUAUUUCUGUGUGUCAAGGGGAAUCCUAGCAGAAUAAAAACGGAUGGUUUACAAUGUAAAUCCUGAAAGUUAAGUGGUGUCCUAUGUAAGACCAGAUGACACAAACCUGAUAAUGCAUCUCUUGAAGCGUUUGGGGUGAGCCCCGAGGCCUGGGUGCAGGAGUGGUUUACUGAGUGGCAAUCAUCAGCAAUGCCAUCUGGGGCAUUGGAGAAGACCCAUGCUGAGAGGACCUGCGAGAGAGCCAGUGGGUCUCAUCCAAGGAGAAGGCGCCUAGGCGCUGUCCGUAGUGCUGAAAUGGUGCGUGGUGAGACCUGUCUCCCCAACACAAGCUAGAAGACAACAAAAUAGCAGCCAGGAAACGCUCUGAUAAAGCUCUAGAUAGCUGCCAGGUGAUGCCAGAGAUUACUAGUUUUGGGACCAAUUAAAGUAGCAAGAUGCAGCCAGGAGUGGUGGCUUAUGCCUGUAAUCCCAGCACUUUGGGAGGCCGAGGUAGGAGGAUCACCUGAGGCCGAGCUCAAGGGAGCAGAACUAAGUUACAUGAUUCUGCUGCGGAUGUAUAAGCACCACUCCAAUAAUUUAUUAUCACGGUUGGAGACUUUGACUUGUCACUUUAUGACUUGAAAUAUGGCUCCAUGAUGCUGAGAUACAAAGAUAAAUGAGAUUUGGUCUCUGCCCUCGAGGAGAUACGUGGCAAAAUAAUAUGGUAAGUUCUACAAAGUUCUAUACAAACACAGAUUAAUAUGCUAUUCAUGUUUUAUUAGCCAUUGCCAAAGAAGGGAUGAAGAACUGCAAAAAGAUAAAACACAGAAUACUUGUACUUCAGGUCCUUGCCAAUAUCUACUGCCCAACUUUUACAAAAAAAAUUGCUGAAAGGCAUGAAAUAUAUGAAUGCCUUUCUAAAGCACAUGUGGAUAAUCUAUACUUCUGGAGCAUCUAUGAUUUAUUUUCAGAACAAUCCAAGUUAUUAGAAAGGUAAAUAUGUUGGUGACAUUGUUUAGAAGUUCCUCAAGCAGAAUUGCCUUUACUAUGCUUUGACAUUAUGCUCUCAGCUUAUAUACAGUAAUUCUAUGUGAAACAGUAGCCAGCUUACACAACCUGCUCUAUAUCUACUACAGAGCUGUUACUAAAGUGUUGGUCAACAUAUAACUUACUAUUUCUUAUAUAAAGAUGCCCAAGAAAUUUAGAUUUCAUAGAUAUAUCCCCAAAAGCAUUUCUUUCAAUACCAGUUUAAUGAAUUGAACUUUCAUACCUCACUUAAAUCAACCCAGGGUAAAGUGGUAUGUUCUGUUCUUACACACAAUGAAAAUCAUGUAACUAAUUAAAGUUAGCAUUUAUUUUAGCUACUAGGGAUGCCAGAGUCAAAUUAACAGCUGAAAAUGAAUAACUACAUAAGACCUUAAGCCUUUUAUAUCUUUUCUUUUUUUUUAAUCACCUUAACUACUGCAAUUUUGGUUUCUUAGGUAAUGAUAAUAUUAUUUUCUUUUAAUUAUUUGUUUUAAUGUGUGACCUCAUGUAAAUGUCCUCAUAAAAUCAGAAGUGGAGUAAAUAAAUAAAUAAAGUAAAUUUCUCUACUUUUUGAUUAUUGGGUGAGUGUAUAUGGUUGUUUUAUAAAUUUAUUCUAAAUAGGAUACUAAAAUACAGAAAAUGUAUCAUCUAAUUAGCUAUGAAGAUAAAAAUCUAAACUAUAAUGAGGAAAUAUUAAAAUGUCAAGAUGACGAAGAAAUUUUUCAGUUUAUAUAAUUAUAGAUCAGCUUAAUUUCAAACCACUUUGUUACCCUAUUGCUAUUUUUAUACUCUAAAUAGUGUCCCUUAUAUGACUAAGACUUUUUGUUAUCUCAGAGAUUGGAAGUGUUAAUUGUCCACCUUGUUAGAAGACAUGGUAACUAUAGGAAUUUAGAAAGCAUGAUAGCCCAACUGUAAUGAAUAUAUUCUAGAAUGAGGUUGUCACAAAGAAACUGAAAACAAGAAUUUCCUCUAACAACUGAGCUCAGGAUUCUUUUCAGAGGAAAAUUUAGCUUGCAUAAAUUCUUGCCAUCUUGGCUCUAGUUGACUUCUUGCUCUCAACUUUUGCAAAGUGAGAUCACCUUUACCUCUUCAACCUAUGAGGCCAACAUGUUACUUUCAAUUUUUCAGGAAAAUCUACGUCUUGUUUGGCUGAGGUUUGAUUAUUAUUCCUUAACUAAAAUAUUUUAAUGUAGCUGUGCUUUUUAAUUUGAAUAUUGCUAUUGAUUCAAACAUUGGGUAGCAUAUCUUUCAAAUGUGAAAUUUUAAAACAUGUAUUAAAGACAAACAUAAAUUAGUUUUGGUAUAACUAUUUUUUAAGAUUAAUCCAAUGCUUUUUUGGCUUUAGAUGAUGUUUGGUAAUUAGCUAUAUUCAAAAGUCAACCUUUUUUUUUUUUCAAAAAAUGAACUCCUAUGUAUAUGAGUGUUAUUUUUAUCUACCCAUGUCUUUUUUGUCUACAUAUACAGUUUUAAUCAUUGUUUCGGGGGGAGGAAUAAGAAUGAUUUUGAAAUUUCACUAAGAAAGAUAUGCCCUCUUCCUAAAAAUACAUAUAUACAGAUGUUUUGCUCACAGCUCAGGUAUUCAUGGAUCUCUGGAAGUUCAUUUUUAUAAUCCCAAGGUAAUCCAAAGAGCCUGCUAAAAAAUUCUGCUGUAAAUGCAUGGUACAUGAUCUCAUUCCCUGUUUUACAACGAAGUAUU
rnacentral:lncRNA from 1 species